AUACUUACCUGGCAGGGAGAUACCAUGAUCAUGUAGGUGGUUCACCCAGGGCGAGGCUCAGCCAUUGCACUGAGGCUGUCUGACCUCUGCGAAUUCCCCAAAUGUGGGAAUCUCGACUGCAUAAUUUCUGGUAGUGGGGGACUGCGUUCGCGCUCUCCCCCU
rnacentral:snRNA from 1 species